rnacentral:snoRNA from 1 species
GGAGUUCAACAGCGAGUGUCUCGUCCAAUCCGCGCGAUUCACUUGAAGAAAACGCUCCUAAAGCAACAAUUUCGCUUGCUGUUUUAAAGCUUUACGCUUUGUCAGCUGCUCUCUCUUGGCCAACAAAGCGAUAAAUAGUCAAGCAUA